rnacentral:lncRNA from 1 species
CAGCUGUUGAGAAGUAGCUGAGUUGGAACUUGUCGGAAUAUAUUUUCCCUGGAGGAAAGACCCAGGAUUUCGUUCAGUAGAGUGCUUUCGGGUGGCAGCCAGUCAUUUCGGCUGCGAAACGCCGCGUGUGCGUGCAGGUGUUGAACCCCACCUCGUGCUGCGCCGGAUGCGACACCGAUACAUAAGCAUUCGCUAAUCGCUUGACAGAAAAGGCUUUUUUUUCCUCUCAACAGUUAGGAGUUUAAGCUUAUUAACCUGAUACGAGAAAGCUCUGAGGAGACGUGUGCAUGCUGAUGGCAGAAUGUUCUCUCAAGUGCUGGCUCGCAGGCUGCGCAGGAGCCCAGCAAGGCGGUGGAAGGUGGCACCUCUGAAAAGAGCAAAGAAUAGUUGGCACAAGAACCAAUCCAACGACCUGAUGAGGUUCACGUCGUGGAGAGCCUAUUAGCCAGGCAGAGCAAAAACUGGACGGGCGUUUUGACACGGAGGACACCAGUGUGGGUGUACGAGGAGGAGCGAGCUGGGCCAGGGAGGAAGGUGGUGUCCUCCGCUGGGGAAUUCAUACCUGCGGGAAAGCUCACGAAGGUGUAGCCUGACCCAGCCGCCCCUGAGGCGACUGGUGAUAGAGGUGCUGAGUUAGAGGGUUAGUCGCCAUACUUUU